CAAUGUCAGAUCUCAUUUCUCUGAUGAUAAGGAUUUAGAUAAGUAUGUGGUGCUUCAGGUCAAGUGCUUGUCAGGUUCACUGCUCCCUUCUGGGAAGUCUCAGAAUGCCUGCCAGGCUCACACUCACCUAAAGCAUAGGUCAUUGUACUCUGUGCUGUGUGAGGUGACUACUAGAUUAAUUCCUUCUGAUUAGCUUGUGCACAGGUCCCAAGGAAACAUACCAUGAACAAGCUAGAGCCACAAUGAAGAAGAAAGGGGAGAUCAGUGAGCACUAGCAGGAUAAAUACGAUAGAAUCAAGCCCAUUCCCAAUUUUCCCCUCCCUGGACUCGUACUUUUAAUACACACAUUCAUCUAUAAUUCUUUUAUUCAGUAUAGGACAGAAAGAGCUAGAGAGAGAGAGCACCCUUUGUCUUACUCAUGUGCCUUCUAAAUAUAAGCAUUGUCACUCAUUUUAUUUUUUUCCCAAGUGCUUCUUAUUCUUUAGAGCCAGCUCAGUUUAAUUUAUCAAUGAAACAUACAACAAUGACUGUAUUUUAGAUGUAUGAAAGUCAUCUGGAACUUAACAUAUCACAAACAUCUCCUGAUUUCCUCCCUGCCAAUAAAGUCUUCUUCUCAUAGUCCACUUAUCUAGUUUGAUGACAAAUCAGCUCUUCUAUUUUUCUGGGUCCAAACUUGGAUGAUCAGCCUUAAUGGCUAUUUUUUUUUCUCUCUUACGUUCCAUAUUCAAUCAACUCUUCUAAAUAUAUCCAGGAUACAAAUUCUUCUCAUCACCUCCACUGCCAGCAAUCUGGUGAGAGCCUCUUACUUGGUUUUACUGAAAUAGCUUCCUACUGAUACCCCUCUUUGUCUUUGCCCCAUUCAGCAGUCAGCAUGGUCAAGUUAAAUGGUGAGUUAGGGCCUGUCAGCUUCUGUUACUCGGCUCAGCACCAUAUGAUGCUUUCAUAAUCAGGGUAAAAUUUGAAGUGCUUACAAUGGCUUAUAACACCUUACACAGUUUGUUCACUGUUCCCCACCUCUUUACCUCUGUUAAUACUUUUAAAUGGGUAACACUGGUUUGAUUACUAUUCUGUGAAUGUGCCUGCCAUAUUGUCUCUAUCUGGAGCUCUUCUUUGGGAAGAAGAGGAGUUUGGGUCCUUUCCCAAGCCCCUCCCUAAUGAGAACUUUCCCAUCUGAAAAUGCAGCAUAUGCACAUGUCCGUAUCCCUAUGCUCCUUCUCCCUCUUACUUGCAUUAUUUUUCUCCUUAGCAUUUUCCCAUCUACUGUAUAUUGUACUUGAUGUCAAAAUAUGUAGAAUCAUAGGUGACUUAAAUUUUUUCUAACUUCUGCAUUUGUCAAUUUUAAACAAUAAAAAUAUUUAGAGGAAGGAGGAAUCACUAUGGGCUGAGAGGGGCAGGAAAGUCAUUGUGGAGGAGAAAAAAAUGUUGCUGCAUCUUGCAAGCUUGGCAGUCUGUCUGAAGAUAGGGAGAGAGCAUCCUAGGUCAUAAUAAAACAUUUACAAAAUAUGGAGGGUACUUCGUGUAUAACUUAUUUUAGAAUCAGUGAAGAGAGUAGCCAGGCAAAUCUCCUCAUUCAUCACCAAAAUGUAGAAUGCACACUUAGAAACAGAUUGUACAAAACCUGAGUCAUUUUAGUCAUGUGUGUUUUUGAAUUGAAGAAUGCUAUGAAGAGAGCAGAGGCAGAAUUACUCUCCUAAAUUCUUCUAAAAUUUCGUUGAUCUUUUCUUUCUGAUAUUCCCACAUAAUCCUUAGUGUUCUUAGAAACAAUUUGUGUACAUAUUCCAGUAGUUUAAUGUUCCUAAAUAACUCAUUUUAUGCUUUAGUAGAAAAAAUUCUGUUUCAAUUGAGUGGCAUAAUUAUCCGUUUCUAUCAAGAUCUAAUUUUCAAGUCAUUUCCAGUGAAAAUUUUUCUUUAAAUAUUUUUAGAUGGAAAAGGAGAAAAGUAAUUAAAAAUGAUCAACCUAUAAAUAAAGCUUUGCAUACAUAGAAAUACAAAGAAUAUUAAUAUUUUUGCUUUGUUUUAUUUGGCUGAAGAAUUGUCAAAAGAUUUCUAUUAUAAAUGAUUGUUUUAUGCUGAUUUUUAAAUCUCAUUUAUAUCACUUGUGUGAUUGGGUAGAAGAUACCAUGUUUCAAAUAUAUUUCUCAUGUUCCAUAAAUGUGUUUUUCCCAUAUGUGGUACAAGGCUAUGGUUUCAGUACUUGGCUGUGUCAGUUAAGGCUAGGUCAGUGCUUGGUAGUGAAAUGAAGAGAUGAGACAGAAAUGCCACCAGGCUACUCAGAUGUGCCCUGCUUACUUUGAACUGGGACCUUCUCGGUAAAGGGGUACCAGGCAUGUUAUACAGCUUGUUUAACAGUGGUUAAUUUUUAUUAAGGGACAAAUGAUAUAGUUGGAGAAAAGACCAUCUCAAACACUCUCUAUGGCAGAAUGUAGAAACAUUUUUAAAGUUAUAUUCGAAGAUUUGGGGGCAGGGCAGAGAGUCAUUAUUAUGGGCUAAAAAAAUAGAUAGGAUACUAGUACAAAUCCUAACAAAAAAGAGUAUCACUGAGUGAGGCAGAAUUUUGGGGUCUUUUUUCUCUCAUUGAAAGCUCAUCCUAUCCAUAAUGCUUCUAAUGAUUUUCUGCCAGUGCCUUCAUUCAGAGAGCUCAGUCAUUUCUAAUGUAAGAUGAAUACUCCUGCCCUUUGUAUUUAUGAAAUGGAAUAACAAAUGAAUGUGAGUUUAGUGAAUUCACUAGGAUUUCUGGGAAAUACUUCCUUUUUAACACAACAGAGGAUGCAAACAUCCAAACACUUUAAUGUAAGGUGAUGGAGUCUCAUAUUAAAAUUAAAACACUCAGUGGAAAUACAAAUAGGAAAAGGAAAAGAAAGCAACUUAUCAGAAUGAUUGUUUAACUCUCAAUCAUACAGAACUAUGACAGAACUUUGUGUACGGUGAGUAGUUGGUAGCGAAGAGUCAGGGUGAAGCUUACGUUAGAGUCGGGGUCCAGUGGAUGAGAGAAUUGAUGAGGUUCAGUCAUAUACUUAAAUUAUUUUCUGAAUUAUCCUACAGUUUCAGGAGACCCCAGCACUGAAAAUGAAAAGGCAUCUGUAAAAUUUAUGACUCUAGAUUUACAGUAUAAAUAGUAGAAUUUUUAUCACCAGAAUCCUGGCCCUUCCCCCUUUUCUCUCCAGCUCCUUAUUCUUUACCCAACCUUAUCUUUGAACUUCAUUUCUAUCCAUUCAGAUUUGAUCUUUUAUCUCCUCAUUACCCUAUUUUGUACAUCUUUAACUCUCUUGAACCUAAUUCCUCACUUUAAUUCAGCAACUUUACUUCAUCUUCUAAUUUAGACUGAGAAGCUAGAUUCUGAUGUGCAGUGUUUCUGCAUCUGCCAAAUUUUACCUCUUGAGUUAGUUUUCUGAUAAGAGGUGGUAAGCUGUCCUUGGAUUGCACCCUAGCUCAGCAUCAUCCUGGCACAGCAUAUCAUUAGCACUUGCCAGUGUCCCCUUCCUGACAGAAACUUCAAUAUUCAACAUAGAGGACACCCAGUAGAUAACAGCAAUCACCAACAGUCCACAUACGGUACACAUAUGCCACAUACGGUUUAAUCUCUCCAAGAACAGUUGUAAGUAUGCAGUUUUAAAUGUGUUGGGAUAGUAUUUUGAUGUACAAAUUACAUUUCCUAGUAUUUCCUGUUACCUUAUGAAAAUUUCUAUUUGGGGGCAGCUAGGCUUGUGACAAAGGUAGUACUGCAGAAUAAAAAAAGUGUCAAUUUUUGGCUUUUGAGUUUUGAAAUAGAUAUUUUGUGGUUCAUGGUAGAGAUGAAUAUUUGAAUUUCAACAGUCUUGGACACAGAAGCUACACUAUUCUGAAGACCAGAUAAAGAGCCAGGCUACCAAGCCCACAAAUUCAACAAAGACUCCAUGGACUGGGGAAGGGAGAAGAGAGUAAAAGGAAAUGUUUGUUAGGAGAGUAUCUCUGAGCUCCUGUCUUUCCCAUCCUUCUCACCACUGUCUUCUCGGAGCAUACUAAAGCCCUGGAGAACUUUAGAGACUUGAGAUCAGAAGGAAUUUGUGGCUUUACCCAUCUGGAUGGAGCCCACUAGCCAAACAGAAGCCAUAGUCCCCAAUAUCUGAAGAGGCCACAUAGUUUUUUAGCACAGCUCAGAGGGUGAAAAAUAUUCUCACAUAUGUGUUCUUGAGGAUUUAGAUCUCAAAUUAGAAAAAUAUAUAUUAACCCUGUGUAUACUGCUGUCAGUGAUAUACAUUUUUUAAAUAAUACAUAUGCUAAUUUUAGGUACCAUUUUGCAUAUAAACCUGAGUGUUCUCUUGAGCAUACAUGCUAGACUUAUAUAUGUGUCCUGUUAUCUUUCUUUAUUUUGGGAUAGUAGCAGCUUUAUUGAAAAGCAUUAUUUUAUGUAGAGAAGGAUACUAACCCUUCAACUUGACUGCAUUAGUCAACAGGACAAAAGUGUCACCUGCAGGUUUCUAACUAGUAUGAAUUCUGCAUUUCUCUCCCCAUUAAUCAUACUCUUUCUUUGAGAUGAUAAUGUUCUCACCCAUCAGAAAAAAGUAAAGGUUUAUAGCUUAAAAAAGUAUAUUAUUCUUCAGUCCAAGACAUUGCCAUAGGAAGACCCUGAAAUAGAACAAAUAGAAUGGACUGGUGGUUACUUAAUUUUUUUAAAAAAAGAAUGCGUUCAGUUUAAUCUAAGUGGACUGGCAAACAAAUGCUUUGCAUCCAAACUAACUGUCCUUGGGGUGGUUUUUAGAGGUAUUGUGAAUAUAUUAGAGAUUUCAAAUUAAUUUCAUAUUCUCAAGUUGGUUGUGUGAAAAGGAAAAUAAUUUCUAAUCCCUUUUUGGCAGAUCCUGAUGAAAUGUUUGGCAAAAAGCUGUAUAUUUCAUGAAGAUGGAAAUAGUUUACAUCAAAUUAGAGAAAUAGCAUAGGUACUGUUAUCAAUACAUGAUUAAAUUUCAGGUAUAUACAAAACGGCAACAUUUCUGACAUCCUUACUUUUUAGACAGUGCAUCUCUGGAAUUCUUAGUUUAUAUUCUAGUCCUUAUAUUAUUUAUUUAUUUACAAAGCAAUUUCUGUCUAGUAGAGACAGAUUUUCAUUCAUUGUUUGGGUUGUUUGCAAACAGUAUGCAAACCAUUAAAUUUAGUGACAUAAACAUUUCCCUUUCAGAUAUUCUUUCUUUCCUUUACAGAAGUGUUUGCUUGGCUUUUUUCUUUUAUAAUUUUUCAUUUUAAAAUGUUUUCUUUUAAAAUUUCUUUUUAAAAAUUUUAACAUGUUAAAAUAUUGACAACAUGUCAAAUUUAGAAAAUACCUUCGAAGUAAGCUGGUUCUAGUCGCCUCAUAUUUAAACUAACCUCCUUAAAUCAAUUUCCAGACUAGGAGAAAGGAUUUGAAUUAUUUUUUCUUAAAUUUGAUUAGAGUAUGGUUGAUUUACAGUGUUGUAUUACUUUCAGGUAUACAGCAAAAUGAAUCAGUUAUAUUUUUAUAUAUCCAUUCUUUUUCAGAUUAUUUUCCCAUAUAGGUUAGUACAGGAUUUUGAUUUCCCUUUGCUAUAUCGUAGGUCCUUCUUAGUUAUCUGUUUUAUAUAUUGUGGUGUGUAUGUAUCAAUCCCAAACCCUUCAUUUGUCCCUGCCCACCCCUACCCCCAGUUUUCCCCUUUGGUAAUUAUAAGUUUUGAUUUUGAGAAGUUCCCAUUGUGGCACAGCGGAAACGAAUCCUACUAGUAUCCAUGAGGAUGUGGGUUCAGUCCUUGGCCUUCCUCAGUAGGUAAAGGAUUUGGCAUUGCUGUGAGCUGUGGUGUACUUUGUACACACAGCUUGGAUCCUGCGCUGCUGUGGCUGUGGUGUAGACCCCUAGACUGGAAACUUCCAUGUGCCGUG
rnacentral:lncRNA from 1 species